rnacentral:rRNA from 1 species
ACGAACGCUGGCGGCACGCUUAACACAUGCAAGUCGAACGAGAGAAGAGAAGCUUGCUUUUCUGAUCUAGUGGCGGACGGGUGAGUAACACGUGAGCAAUCUGCCUUUCAGAGGGGGAUACCGAUUGGAAACGAUCGUUAAUACCGCAUAAUAUAAUUGAACCGCAUGAUUUGAUUAUCAAAGAUUUAUCGCUGAAAGAUGAGCUCGCGUCUGAUUAGCUAGUUGGUAAGGUAACGGCUUACCAAGGCGACGAUCAGUAGCCGGACUGAGAGGUUGAUCGGCCACAUUGGGACUGAGACACGGCCCAGACUCCUACGGGAGGCAGCAGUGGGGAAUAUUGCACAAUGGAGGAAACUCUGAUGCAGCGAUGCCGCGUGAGGGAAGAAGGUUUUAGGAUUGUAAACCUCUGUCUUCAGGGACGAAAAAUGACGGUACCUGAGGAGGAAGCUCCGGCUAACUACGUGCCAGCAGCCGCGGUAAUACGUAGGGAGCGAGCGUUGUCCGGAAUUACUGGGUGUAAAGGGAGCGUAGGCGGGAUCGCAAGUCAGAUGUGAAAACUAUGGGCUUAACCCAUAAACUGCAUUUGAAACUGUGGUUCUUGAGUGAAGUAGAGGUAAGCGGAAUUCCUAGUGUAGCGGUGAAAUGCGUAGAUAUUAGGAGGAACAUCAGUGGCGAAGGCGGCUUACUGGGCUUUAACUGACGCUGAGGCUCGAAAGCGUGGGGAGCAAACAGGAUUAGAUACCCUGGUAGUCCACACCGUAAACGAUGGAUACUAGGUGUAGGAGAUAUUAAGUCUUCUGUGCCGUCGCAAACGCAGUAAGUAUCCCACCUGGGGAGUACGGCCGCAAGGUUGAAACUCAAAGGAAUUGACGGGGGCCCGCACAAGCAGUGGAGUAUGUGGAUUAAUUCGAAGCAACGCGAAGAACCUUACCAGGUCUUGACAUCGUAUGCAUAGCUCAGAGAUGAGUGAAAUCUCUUCGGAGACAUAUAGACAGGUGGUGCAUGGUUGUCGUCAGCUCGUGUCGUGAGAUGUUGGGUUAAGUCCCGCAACGAGCGCAACCCUUACUGUUAGUUGCUACGCAAGAGCACUCUAGCAGGACUGCCGUUGACAAAACGGAGGAAGGUGGGGAUGACGUCAAAUCAUCAUGCCCCUUAUGACCUGGGCCUCACACGUACUACAAUGGCUGUCAACAGAGGGAAGCAAAGCCGCGAGGUGGAGCAAACCCCUAAAAGCAGUCUUAGUUCGGAUUGUAGGCUGCAACCCGCCUACAUGAAGUCGGAAUUGCUAGUAAUCGCAGAUCAGCAUGCUGCGGUGAAUACGUUCCCGGGCCUUGUACACACCGCCCGUCACGCCAUGGGAGUCGGUAACACCCGAAGCCUGUAGUCUAACCGCAAGGAGGACGCAGUCGAAGGUGGGAUUGAUGACUGGGGUG